UUCAGUGCUCUGCAUGUGUUUAUAACUCUGUCAAACAUCAAACAUGAUCAACAACUGUUUUUCACUAGAACUGAACCUACAACCAACAAAAAUGACUUUCAGCACCAUAUUGAUCUGGACGCUGGCAGUAUUAUGUCGAGAAUCUGUUGGUCAGGUGACAGUGACUCAAACUCCCUCAGAGCUGCUCUCUCAAACUGGACAAUCAGUCACUGUGACCUGUAAAACUAGCAGUGAUCCAGACGCUCUGAGCUGGUACUUACAGAAACCUGGAGAAGCUCCUAAACUCCUGAUUUAUGCAACAAACCUCCUCCAGUCAGGAACUCCAUCUAGA